GUAAGGUUCUGGAACUGUGGGUUACAGCCUUGGAAUCUGGGCACACUCUGAUGCUCUGGGUUCCAGCACCUGACUUAUACCCACCCAGAUCAAACAACCUUUCCAAGAACAGAAGGAUUCCAGGCGUCCCGGGGCAACGAUGACUCAUGCAGCACCCCCUCCCAUUUCGCCAAACUGCCGUCUCCGCCCACCCCCAAACAAUCUCAACGACGCACCGCGACUCUGGGAGCUUUGCUGGGGGCUAAAGGGGUUUCAUCUUCAUCCUCGCAUCCCAGCAGCCUAAACCUCCCCCCUCUCAGUCUACAAGCUUGCCUCCUUUCCCACCCGAUCCCUCAGUUGAGCAGAGGAGAUGGAUGCGACAUCAACAUUUGGGACUCGCGAGCCACUAACAGCAGCGCGCGGAAGGGGGGGCAGCCAAGCGCCCUGGGGUUGAUGUGUUGUACAUUUCCAGGGAGCAUCAGUGAUAUCAUCAUCUAUGUGGAUAGUGCCCUUGAAGCGUACAGGACACGACCUUCGCAACCAUAUUCAGUUUGAUCAACAACAUAAACUGGGAGCUCAGUGGUCUAAGAGGACUUGACGUGUGGAAUGAAGGUCUCUCAGCCUACGAUGUAUUCAGCCCUCCCCACUACCCAGCCUCACAUGGAUACCAAUGCAGCCAUGUCAAGUGACAUUCAUUUGGAAGUCUGUGAACAAAAGAGAGGCACACACCUAAAAGUGAAGUUACAUGUGUGGAUGUUUAUAUGAAACAGAAAAGACACAAGAAAGCGUCUGAGACAUGAAAAACAGUGGAGGAAGAUAAACAUUUCAAGAUUCAUAUCACACUGCUGCUGCCUUGAUUCAGAGAGUUUCUAAGGAAAUAGCCAGAAGGGCUGCUCAACACUCAGCUUCCUCCCAAGGAAUAAAGAGUUUGCUAUGAGCCAAGGAAGUGCCAAGAAAAUGCCAAUUUAUGUCACACUAACAUCUUUCUUAAAGCUGAACGUGGACUUCAGAAAUGUAAACUUUUGGCUCCAGUGAGCACAGCCAGCCUUAAGGCAUUGAUAUUAGGUUCUUCUGAAGGACUGAGGGAAAUUUGAGAAGAGAUCAAAUUAGACACCCAGUAAUUAGAAAAUGUACUGACACCAGAGUUUUACUCACAAGAGUGGUGGGGUCAACUUUUCCAUGGCACCUGAUGUGAACUCAGAAAAAUGGCAACCUGAAAACAGUGUUUGGAAAUGAUUUCACUGGAGACAGACAGAGACAGCAAACGCUGGAAGGAGAGGGAACGAGAGACAAACUAAAGUGAGACUCUGUAAUUGAGAAGACCUGCGGGAACCAGCAGAAAAAGUUUCCUGCCACAGACAAAACAACCUUCAAAGGCUACCUUCUUUCUCUUGUCGCUGGGAUAAAGUUGCUUUUGGAAUAACCCCCAAUGCAUUAUACAUAUUUAAAACUCUCCUCUCUGGGUUUAUAAUUUUCGCAGAGACAGCUUCCUGCCAACGUAAGUCAUGAAUGUAAGAUGAUGCUCCUUUGUGGGGUUGUAAAGACAAUCUAAGAACAAGUGAUUUCAGAGUCACAAACUUCACAGCUGGGGAGCAUUUCCAUUGCCUAAUGCACUUUCCCUUGAAGCUUUCAUUGUUUCACUCUUACCCAGUGGUGUCAUUAUUUGACUUACCUCAUCGGGGAAAUCACUGUUUAAAAACUGAAUAUAAACGGUGAAAUAGUUUUGUACUUAUCUUUUCCAGGAUAAUAGCUUCCCUCCCCUGCUCCCAGUUCCCGCCACAGAAGGGUUAGGCCCCUGUGGGUGAUGAAUUGUCCCAAAGAGUUUGACAGUUCCAGGGAGAGAAAUGAGAGUAAAAAUAACUAGCUGAUUACCAAUAGGAAGCAAAUUGGCCACUUGAGAAUUCAGUGGCUAGAAAGAUGACAAAUGAGAAAACGAAAAUCCUCAUCAAGAGAUGAGGCUUUCUGAUUAGGCCAAGUGCUUUCCAUGCCUCUCCCUCCCUGCUGUGUGAUGAUGUACAUCCGAUGGGACCUCGUUUUGUAUUGGGGGCAGUCACUUCCAAAUGGGUGUUUGAAAGACUUUGAAGUAUUUCAUUAUAACCAGGAAGCAUUCAGGGGCUGAGCAAGUAAAAUGGAAGAUGCUCUAUCUUGGGCUGUGGAAUGUACAUUUAUAGAAGGAACCCACGUCUGGUUGAUUUGGUCUGGCUUUUUAUUCCAUCACCCCAUAAGGCAGGCUUCCAAGAUUUUCUGGACUCUGGAAGAAAAUAAAAGUGAGAGUGUUCUUGGCCAAGGAAAUUCACAUUCAAGGCAGAUUCAAGGAUUUCAAUAUGUGGAUAGACUGGGUUUUCUCUGUUAAGAGUCAACUACUAAAAAUAGAAAUAAUUUGGGAAUCCUUUAAAGAGAGGCCAUUUUUGCUAGUCCUCAUUUGAAUAAAUCCAUAAAGUGACAGAGGGUAUAUAAUGAACUAUAGACAUGCUAGCUGUCCUCAAAAGCCAUAAAUGUAUCAGUGGUAUUAAGUCAUUUGUGCAUGAAGAGACAAAACAGACCAUCAACCAUUAGCCUCCAACUGGGCACAGCCAUAAGAGUUGUAGAAAGUAAGAAGAGAAACUGGGAAUUUUGAGUUAGGUAAUCAGAAUAGAAUUCAGGGAGGAAGGGUGAUAAGAUGCAGGCCUUGAAGGAUGAAUAGAACUAUAGCAAAUUUCUGAGUGAGCACUGUUUGAAUGGAUAACAGCACUAUUUUCUUUUUUAAAAAAAUCAUUUGUUAAAAAGUGACCGCAAGUGGUUUGUCUUGAGUAAAGGAGUUUGGAAAGAUGAAUCGGGAUGUAGGUUUCCCACAUAUGCAUGGGCCUUCCACACCAGGCACAUGUGGGUUUGAUCUUAGGAGCAGUGGAGGAACAUGAGUGGUUCUGAGUAGUGUUAGAACUGUUUUUAGAGGUAUGUUAUCCCUGUCAGUGAAAAGAAAAGGCAAAAGGAUGUUCUCUGGAGCUUUACUAAUAGGUCAGAUUAAAAGAUAAGGCCACCAUUUUGACACCUGUACUAUGGAAGAGAAGAAUGCAUAACAGUGCUUGGUACACAGAGGGGCUCAACCAGUACUGCUGAAUGAGCCUGAAUUUUCUCAGAAUCAGAGUAUUAUCAUUUCCUAGAAUAGCUGAGGAAGACCUGAGGUUGCCUCAGCCCUCUCAAGAGGUAGCAAUGAAUGAUUUGAAGAAGACCAGAUUAGGAGUUAUGUGAACCUGAAAAUUUAAAUUGACCUUCAUGGGUCUAUAUUAUCUCAGUUAAGAAGACAAAGGUUAGUUUUGUGAAUGAACUCUAAUAGAAGAAAGCUUUUUGUGUAUAUUUUUGGAGAGCCAUGUGUACCUUGAGUUGAAUGCUUGGAGGACUCUGUGACCCAACUCAAGGUUAAGAACCUAGGAAUUACAUUCCCUUUGGAAAACAAGAGAUGGUGAUUCUGAGAGUCGGAGAAUGAUUUUGUUCUCUGGAAGGACAACUGGGACAUCUGGAACCAUAGCUCUGCCAAUCUUGUCACCUCGGAGGCCUGUGACUGAUUGUUUUGACUGAAAUGAGGAGGAAAGGAUUUUGUUUCUAAAUGUCAACCCAGCCUCAGAUUCCCCAGCAAUUUAAGGAAUAUUAUUGAUCUUAUCAGGCAUGCUGGGGUAUAAUUGACCAUCGAAAAGAGACAAAUCAUUGAAAGACACUUGCCCUCAACAGAAAGUGACAUUGGCAAAUGUAACCUCUGACAUACCUUUUUUUGUAGAAUUUUUUUGCAUUUCUGCUUCCUUUCAUAACAGCCUCUGUCAUAGGGUUGCUGGAAAGAAUAACUAGUUGAUGGUGGGGGAAAAGUACUUGGGAAGAUGAUGUACUUUGGCACUUAAGUCUAUUGUUCAAAAACAAUACGAAAUAAUAUUUUUGUUGAAUGGACAUGUUCAGUAGGUGCUCUGAUUUGGGGAAUUGUCAAUAAUGAUAUGAUGCUGUUUGCCAGAAAUAUGAGCAGUUAAAAAAAUGUUAUCUUUCUCUAGAAGCUAUUUUCAGUGUAAAACUCCAGCAUGGAAAGCUAGUUCUUGCAAUUUUUAAUGAGGCAGGACUCUUAAUAAUGAUUUUUGGCUUAAUGUGUUAAUGAGUAGAGAUCUGAGGGAUAAAGGACUUACAAUGUAAGAAGGAAACUCAAAGAAAGAUUAGGCUCUAAUAAAAAUAAAUAGUUUUAAAAUUGA